rnacentral:misc_RNA from 1 species
AAGUCGUAACAAGGUCUCCGUAGGUGAACCUGCGGAGGGAUCAUCAUAGAAAACAUCACAAUAACCCAAGAGGGAGGAGGGGGAGAGAAGAUGAGGUGUUAUGCCUCUCUUCUUUUUCUCUCUUUCUCUCUUGGGUAACCAAACAACUUACAUGACUAUGAAAACAGAGAGGGAUGAGAGAAGAGGAGAGGAGGCAAGAAGUGCUAUCUAGUUGUUAGCCUUCUCUUGCUGACUUGACUCGACUUGUAAUCUCAAAAGUUCUUGACUGAUAAGCAAUCUGGAUUGGCAUGAGAUAAAAUACAACUUUCAACAACGGAUCUCUUGGCUCUCA